AAAGUGCGAUAAUUAGUGCGAUUUGCAUGAAUCUGAGAGUCAUCAAGUAUUUGAACGCAACUUGCGCUCCAUUUGGAGCAUGUCUGUUUGAGUGGUAUAAAUUGAUAAUACGAUUGUGCUUUGUGCACAUUUGUGAAUUGCUAGUCCAUUGCGUGUCUAGUUAAAUGGAGAUUUUGUUUCAGUGAGGGGAUAUUUGAUAUAUUCUUAAAGUUAGAGACGUCAAGUCUUGUUUAAGAAUGCAUCAAACCCUCCACACACCAACAACACCCUCAAAUCAGUCAAGACUACCCGCUGAACUUAA
rnacentral:misc_RNA from 1 species